UCAGAGUUUAGUAGUACUGACAAAUAUGUCGGCCUCUGGUGAUCACUAGGCCACCAAUAUUUAUGGAUAUGUGAGAGGAGCACAUAAUUCUCAUGGGAUUAUAUAUAAAUAUACAAAUUUCUUCUUCUUAACUUCCGUACAGGUGGAGCGGCCUGCAGACGGAUGCUAGCUAUUUAAAGAUGUUAAAAACCAAGCAGCUUCCACCCCAAGCUAACAUUUAGUUAAGCUAGCUGCCUGUAGUAAAAUAACGCCAGACGUAUCGGUGCCUGGCUAGCUAGCCAACCAUUUAACUGUAAAUUAGCCUGGCGCUGGGAAAGCUAACCUACAGAGCAAGACACGUACAGGCGCUUGCUGCCACCGCUGAAUGACUCUCACUUGGAAAAUAAUGGAUGUAACGAGUUAUCUUUGUGGAUUCUAGUCCGAGGAGGAAACAGCACGACUGAGACUGGUACAGCCCAUUCACCGUGUUUGGACCCUGAGUAAUUGUGAAACCCCUCGCAGGUGCAGCAUCCUGACCAACCAUCACUUUGUUUGUGACCCAGAAUGACCUGCUGAUACUCAAUACUGCCACCUCUUUGUUUCAUCCGUACAUAAAAAGUCAUCAGCACCACAAACAAGGAGGCCUCUGUUCAGCCUUCGAUGGAGGAAAGUGCCUGCAUCCUGCUGUCAAGGUUGGAGAGGGAUACCUCAAACUCAAAAAAUCUCAAGAUACUAAAGUCUCUAGGAUUCCCUUCCACACAAAAAAAACACAUUUUUUCACAUUUUUGAUGAGAUCAUUUUUGGGCCAUUGCACCAGAGAGGCUGUAUUGGGAAUUGUGCAAGUGUGUUGUGGGAGUGUGUCAUCCAAGCCUCUCUGCUCUCUGCUGGGGAGGAAAGCCGAGGGAAGGCCCUAGAAGUCUCUGAAGACAAGGACAAAAAGAAAACGGCCUGUUGCUGGGAGGCUGACAGUUGCAUAACUGACUGGUGCAGUUGUCCAUCAACACAGUAGAACAGGGAGAUCAGUUGGGAGAACUGAUUUCUUUUAUGUUGCCAUUGCUGGCGGAUACAUGAGAAAAUAUCAAUAUCUACUCCAUACAUAAUCCCUGAGCACUCAAGUUCAACACUGUAAUUUUAGCUCUUUCUCAACCAUUUAAUUUACAUGGAUACUGAUGGAUGUUCUACUGGAUUUUCCCCCAGAUGUUUUGGAAAGUACCACACCAUCACUUCCUACUUUCACAUCCCUGGUGCAGCUGGCAGGUGAGGUGGUUUAAAUCAGCCACCGACGGGGCCUAGGGAUGCCCCGACACAGGAAAACCAGGCUACUCCACUGGCCCGCUUACAGACUGCUGUUCCUAGUACGAGUCCUGGACUGAAAGCUAAAUGUCUUUUUCUCUAACCUGGAGCAAGGGGUUAUCAUUUUUUAUUUACAAGACCUUUUCUAACAUUGCUGCAGCUGCCCAGACUGCUGAUCUGUAGGUGCUGGAAACUUUGAAUUUGAAUGAGUAGGACUCUCCAUAUGCUACAAACAAGCCCAUUUCCCACUUUAGGUAUUGAUCUGCACUUCUUUCUAAGCUGAAGAAAGUCACAGAGAAGGGAAAAGAGAUAGCCAACUCAGAUUAUUAUCCCAGACUGAUCUCUUUAAGGCUCUUCUCUCCUUUUACUCCUUCCCUCAUCCUCAUUUCAUUUAUUUCUAUUGCGUUUGUUCCAUCUUACAAGUCAAUCUCCCACCAAACAGGUUUACCUCUUCCAACUCUGGUACCUCACUAAACUCCCAUUUAUAGACCAAUCAAAUCAAUCUGGACCAGUUUUCUGUAUUUUAGGAUUUGGUAGGAAUUUUAUUGCACUUAAUCACUAAAGAAAUCAAUUGUUGUGUUUUAACAGAAGGAUCCAAAUGAAUUGUUCUUACAUCUAAAUAACAGCCAUAUUCUUUUAAUUGCACUAUUAUGAUUUUCACAAAGCCUUUACUCACCUUACUAUACAAGAACCAGAUUUACUCUUUGUAGACUGAUUUUUAGGCUCUUAUGGAAACGGAUCUGUAAGAAUUAUCAGUUUCUAUCGGCUUUUGUUUGUAAGUGAUUGACAUGUUGGGUGGAACACAGAUAAACUAGUGUUGUGUAUGUGCCUGCAACUCUUUUCCUCUCAAUAAUCUGUGGCUUAUUUGUUCAUCCCGCCUUACCACCUGUUUUUGUGGCUGACAGGGAAACAGGGCUUUUACAACAGAGAGACUUGUAAGCUUCUUUUAAUCGCACACACACAGUUGAUUAGGAUUGACCUAAGAAUCGAAGAAAACAAGAAACCACUCCUCCUCCCAUCUCAGUGUGGUGAUGUAGAAGAUUUUUUCCCUUUUUUCCACUUGCAAGAGGAAGCUCUUCAAAACGAAACUUGGAAAAAAAAUUAUUUUCUUUACAUUUAUUCUUUUUGCCAGUCUGUCAUUUCCACUUCCAAACUACAGAUCUGCUCAGUACACCUAAAGAAACAUUUUACUUGAAUGAGAAAUUCCUUGGCAGCAGGUGCUGAACAGACAAACACCACACCACACGCAGGAAGUGAUGCCAGGUGGCAGCAGUAAGAGCGGAGGGCGGGGUCCAUCCUCGUCACCCCUCCCCCACGCCGUGGUCCCGCCCAGCAGACCCCUGCGACCCUCCCGCUACGUCCCUGUGUCUGCAGCCACUUUCUUCCUCGUUGGUUCCACCACACUGUUCUUCUGCUUUACGUGUCCGUGGCUUUCAGAGCGUUUCUCGGUAGCUGUGCCCAUCUACAAUGGAGUCAUUUUCCUGUUUGUUUUGGCUAACUUCUGUAUGGCCACAUUCAUGGACCCUGGCAUCUUCCCAAGGGCCGAGGAGGACGAGGACAAAGAGGACGAUUUCCGUGCCCCCCUCUACAAGACGGUGGAGAUCAGAGGGAUCCAGGUCAGGAUGAAGUGGUGUUCAACCUGCCGCUUCUACAGACCACCGCGGUGCUCCCACUGCUCCGUCUGUGACAACUGUGUGGAGGACUUUGACCACCACUGUCCGUGGGUGAACAACUGCAUUGGCAGGAGGAACUACCGCUACUUCUUUCUCUUCCUGCUGUCUCUGACUGCUCACAUCAUGGCCGUGUUUGGGUUUGGCCUUCUCUUCAUCCUCUACCAUCGGCAGAACAUUGACCGCCUGCACGCCAUUGUCACGCUAGCUGUAAUGUGUGUUGCGGGUCUGUUCUUCAUCCCUGUUGCUGGCCUCACUGGUUUCCACAUAGUGCUUGUGGCCAGAGGCAGGACCACCAAUGAACAGGUAACAGGGAAGUUCAGAGGAGGUGUUAACCCUUUCACCAAUGGCUGUUGGAAGAAUGUCUCUCACGUCCUCUGCAGUUCACAGGCACCCAGGUACCUGGGCAGGAAGAAGUGUGUGCAGAGUGUGUGUGUGCAACCUCCUUUUCUGCGGCCACAGCUGACAGAGGCCCAGCUGGCUGCAAAGAUCCUGGACAACGGCAUACAGGGAGACCUGCAUCGAUCCAGGUCCAGUCUGGAGAUGAUGGAGAGUCAGUCAUGUGACGCUGAGCCUCCUCCUCCACCUAAACCAGAGCUCCGUUACCCUGGAAUCACCCGAGGAAACACGGAGGAGUGCAGUCUACUGAACAAAGCCCCUCCCACCCCCACCAUGUACAAAUACAGGCCCACCUACAGCCCUGGCAAGAACCACACAGCGCUUACACAUGCUUACGCCAACCAGUUAAGUCGAGGGGAGAGUGUUGGCAGUGCCAGGGACUCCUCCUCCUCCACCUCCUCCCUCCUCCAGGCCAGCCAGCAGCCUGGUUUCCGCUCUCAGCCCAGCCUGGACCGGAGGGACACUUCGUCUGACAGAGUGGGAGGGGGAGGAGGUGGGGAGAGGAGGGAGGGAGGACGAGAGGCGGGAGGAGGGGGCAUCCCUGGCUACUCCCUCGGCGGGCGCUCAUACCCCUCCUUCUCCGACCCUGCCGUCAUGUCAGGAGUGGCGUCGCGAUCUUCCAGCUCCACGCACACCUCAGCGGGCGCCGCCCACAUCUCUGAGGCGACCACCACCUCAGCCAGCUUCAAGAGCUUAGCCAAUCAGACAACCCCUUCUCACCAUGCAUCUCGCAAUGGGAGCCUGUCAUAUGACAGCUUACUGGCUGGUGGUGAUGAUUUCGACAAGGGGGUGACAGCAGGUUCAACAGCCCCUGAGGUCUCCUCUGGGAGACCCUGCACACCAGCGGCAGGCGGCUACACCUCCCCCUUCCUGUCUUCACAACAGAGAGAUGCUGAGAUGCACUCCCAGUCCUCCCAGUCCCCCCAUCACCACCACCGCUCCUCCCACCACCACCACCACCACCACCCCUUCCUUCACCGCUCAUCCUCUUCCACUUCCUCCUCCCCACCACCUCCCCCAGAGAGGGAGCGUCUGCUGGUCGAGCCCCACCCUGGUAGUCAUGCCCCUCCCACCAAUCAGGCCCCUGCUCCCGCAUCCUCCUCCUCAGCCCCGACUCCCCCACACCAUCACCAUCACCACCACCACCACCACUCCCACCAUCACCACCACCACCACUCCUCAUCCUCCUCUUCCACCUCCCGCCCCCCCCGUUUCGCCGCCCCCCACGCACCUCUCCACCACGCCUAUCCCUACCGCACCCGCUCCACUGACACCCCCCUCGGCACCUCGUCCACCUCCACGACCCACCCUCCUCGCUCCCCGCACCCCCCACCCCUGGGCAAGUCGCUCUCAUACUCGAGCGCUGCCGCCGCCGAAAUGCAAUACCGGCUGGUCCGAAAGGCAUCUGCUUCAGCCGGAGCGAACGCAGCCGGGGUAGGAGGAGGAGGAGGAAGUGGAGGGAUGGGAGGAGGAGGAAUACAAGCACCGAAGGAUGAGCUGAUCCAGAUGAAACCUCUGAGUCGGACCAACGGUGGCCAUCCCUUCUCCUCCUCCUGCUCUGCCCCUUCCUCUCCCUCUCACCCAGUCAGUGUGUCCGCCCGGCCCGGAGUGGCCUACCCCAGCUCGGCAUUGACGCAGAGCCCUGCCCACAAGCCCCAGGGCGGCGGGGUGAAGAAGGUGACGGGCGUUGGGGGCACUACAUAUGAGAUUUCUGUCUGAGUGGCGGCCAGCCACCAGCUCGAGGACCAAUGAGAUGAAGAGGAGAUGCUGGUGUCUCCCUGUCUUGCUUUUGAGGAAGAAACUUGGGCUUUUCAUAAUACAAGAAAACACUGACACACAAAUGAUGAUGGGAGGAACCACGUUGUCCAGAUCUUACCCCUCAUUGGCUGAUUGACUGAGGAGCUAAACUGUACUGGACUAUCCUUCCUCCAGACAUCCACUUCAAUAAUCUUGCUGGGAAAAUUUUAUUAAGACAUGGACUGACUCACUGGUCAAACCAGGAACCAUGAUGUGGCUCAUUUUGUGGGUUUCAUCCUCACUGUAGCUCAGUAGGUAGCAUUGGGGGGUGGCAUGGUCCCGUAUGGGUAUUAUAUUGACAAGUAUAGCUGUGCAAGACAUUACCACUGCCAGGGAAAGGAGACUGAUCCCCACUGGGCCCACCAAUGAGCUCUGGAUUAGGGUUUGACAGCUGCAGGUGGAGAGGGUUCAUAUCGGCACUUUCGGACUGACACUGCAUUUAAGUAAAAGUUGGUGCAGAUGUGUAAUAGUUCACUUUCACGUGUAGAACAUCACUGAACACACAACCCCAUGAUGAUGAUGAUGACGGUGAUUAUAGUAAUAAUCAACACAUUCAUGCGUAGUCUGUGGAACCUGAUCAAAAUCAAGGUAGAAUCCAUUCAAAGUUAAGGGCUGCCCAUUGACAAGCAGUUUAGUGCAAACUAACUGUGAGAUCAGUCAGACUCAAGACAUAUCAGAUUGAGUCAUAGCUACAUUUUUAAUACAAGCUCUGGCCCAGUCGUCAGCUCAACCCCACUUACAAUGGCAGCAUCCACCAAACAGCAUGUGGUGCGACCUCAAUGGACCGAGAACACAAGUUGUGUGUGUGUUCCUAGGUGUUGUGUGAUGCAUGGAGUCUGUAAUGCAGCCCAGACAGAAUCCCUGUAACCUGUUGUCACUCCCUCAGAGGCUGCUGUUUUUCUUCACAGCCUUCCAGUCAGUUAUCGAAAUGCACAACAUGGCAGCAGGAGGUCCGUUAUCGAGCAACUAGUAGGAUCUGUUAUGGACUUGUGACAAUCUGCCAGUGGCUGGAAAGAGCUUCACCAAUGAACUUCUCAUCAAUGUUGCUGCGUGAAUUGACUUGCCUUUUGAUGGAGGGAAAAAAAAUGUGACAUUGGGAUAAAAACAACAGAAAAUGCUGAUUCCCUCUUUCUUUGAUCCAUUUGUUGAUUUAUUCCUAGAUGUGAAUAUGAUUCCAUGUUUGUACAGGAUGAUGUGAUUUUAAAUGUGGAAUUUUUUUUCUUUUCUUUCUUCUUCUUCUUCUUUUUUUUUUUUUUUUAAAGUGGCAUACCGGACUGCAGCAUGCACUACUAUUACUACUAGCCACUAUAGGCCACUGUGUUUGGCUGUGGACCAUGUCGUCUGUUUGAACAAACAGGAAGUGAGGAAACUAAAGUGAAGAAAGAAAUCAUGUUUUGGCCUUUUGUUCUUAAUGGGGUCCUUAAGAAAAGGCAAAUUUUUCUAGAAAAUUAAUUCCUCGAACAAUUGCCUUGAAAAUUUAAGUGUUGUAAUUUUUUUUAAUUUCACCUAUUUAAUUUGAAAUUGUUUUAUAUGAAUUUAUAUGGAAAUAUAACUAUUGAUAAAUGAAGAGUUUUUAAUAUUGACUCAAAAGAGGGGUUGUGUUGUCAGUCUCAGAAUCAGGAUAAAAAGAUUAAAGCAGCCGUCCUGAUUGGUUUGGGUUGAUGCUCCACAGUUGAUCCACUGUUUUCUUGGAAAGAAUCUUGAUUUGAUGUCCUGAAUGUCCUAUUUGCAAAGAUCACAUCAGAAUAAAACAGGACUGGAAUCUCUCAGACCAGACGCCUUAUUUAUAAGAUGGUCUUACAGUCAAGUUGCAUCUUCGGUAUGAUUAAGAUCUCUAUUCUACGAUCGAGUAUUAGGGCCACUAUUUAUUCAAAUCUCAAGAAGUUGUGAUGCAAAAAGAAAGAAGUGCUGUGAAGUAUUACGAGAAAAAAAUCUUAAUUUUAUUUAUUUUUUUAAAGUUAUUAUAAAAUGAGAUAAAAUAUAUGAGAGAAGUAAUUUUACAAUCAAGUAAAUACACUGCAUUUUUUUUUUUUAAAGAAAAGGUAAAUUUACAAGCAAGUCAUUACUAGAUAAAUGAUAAAUAAUUGUGUGAGUAAAAAGUGAAAAUUAAGUCUGAAUUUCACAAAAAACCUAAAAAUUCAACACUUAAGUCAUCAAACUAAAAUCACAGUAUCAGAAGAAAAGGUUCUAUCUGGACAAAAUUUCUGUUAUUCUUAGACUGAGUCUUUUUAUAUAGUUACAUGUCCAUGUUUAGGCACUUCUUGGCUCUCCAUUUGUACUGUACAGUGAAAUAUUUUAAUAUUAACAACAAGAAAAUAACAAUAAUGCAACAUUUUGCCUUUAUUCUUAAAGUCAGUGUUCCCUCCUUAGAGUGGCCCUAAUACUCAACUGUAGACUAGACGUGUGAGUCACCUGCUGGUACAAACGUCUUUAAACUGAACUCCACUUGUGAGUGAGGGUGCUCCAGAGACGAUGGAAGAAGAUUACACAAACUUAAUGAUCUUAAGAUGAAUUUUAAACAUUUAUAGAUGAGGCUCCUAGUCUGAGAAAAGGUGUCUAAUGGUUUAAAAAAAAAAAAAGUUGCCCAAGUUUUGAUGACACUUGUAGAACAGUCCUCCUUUUCCCUGCUCAACAUGAACUAUCCAUUGAUUGCUAAAGCUUUCACUUUCAGUCACCCACUUCCAGCUGUGGUUGGGGUAUUAUCUUCUUUAUGGGGAAUAGUCCAGCACUUUGUUGCACUUGUUAAACUUCAGUGUUGCACAGUAAGUCUACAGUGUACACUAAAUCUUUCCUUGAAACUAAUUACACCAGCUGUUGUAUUUUUCUGCCCCUUCUAGUGUGAUCUCACUGACAUUUAGUUUUUUUUCUGUCUGAGCCAUCACCAGAAACUAGAACAUUGGCCCCCAGAAGCAGUUAACUGGUGCAACAGAUUGCUGGACAUGUUCAGCAGUAGCUGGUAAGUGAAAUAGUGCUUUGUAACUAUGUCAUCAUGUUUUAUGGCAGAUAGAAGAAGCAUAAGUAUGACUUUAUCCAGUCAGGAACACAAAUAAGAACAGCACAGGACUCUGUGUUGGAAGGAAAAUGACCAAUUAUGGUAAAAUAAAUGAAGCACACCUGUAGUACUAGCGUAAAGAGAAUCUUGCGUCUCUGGUGAAUGUGGUUUUUAAGGAAAUGUUUUUCCAUUUUGCUGUUAUUUGAGCCCAGUUUGAGGACACUUAUUUGUUUGAACAGAGUGGCUGGUAGGUGAAGACAGUGGGCUGUAGGUGCAUGUCUGCAGGAACAGUUAUAGCAGGCCUCUUUGCCUGUUUGAUAUAGACAGGGCUGGAAAACUCAAGUUCAAAUUGAAGAAAUGGUAAAUAUGUGUACUGUACAGCUUAAUGUGUGUGUGAGUGUUAGUGGAUGUAUGUAUGUAUGUGAUGCGGGGCUGGGGGAUUGGUAAUAAAUUUUAAACAAAGA